UACAGAGGGGGCAAGCGUUGUUCGGAAUUAUUGGGCGUAAAGAGCUCGUAGGCGGUCUGUUGCGUCGGCUGUGAAAACCCGGGGCUCAACUCCGGGCCUGCAGCCGAUACGGGCAGACUAGAGUUCGGCAGGGGAGACUGGAAUUCCUGGUGUAGCGGUGAAAUGCGCAGAUAUCAGGAGGAACACCAAUGGCGAAGGCAGAUCUCUGGGCCGUAACUGACGCUGAGGAGCGAAAGCAUGGGGAGCGAACAGG
rnacentral:rRNA from 1 species